rnacentral:rRNA from 1 species
AUUACAACUUUCAACAACGGAUCUCUUGGUUCUGGCAUCGAUGAAGAACGCAGCGAAAUGCGAUACGUAGUGUGAAUUGCAGAAUUCAGUGAAUCAUCGAAUCUUUGAACGCACAUUGCGCCCUUUGGUAUUCCAAAGGGCAUGCCUGUUCGAGCGU